CCUACGGGGGGCAGCAGUGGGGAAUAUUGCACAAUGGGGGAAACCCUGAUGCAGCAACGCCGCGUGAGCGAUGAAGGCCUUCGGGUCGUAAAGCUCUGUCCUAAGGGAAGAAUACUGACGGUACCUUCGGAGGAAGCCACGGCUAACUACGUGCCAGCAGCCGCGGUAAUACGUAGGGGGCUAGCGUUAUCCGGAAUUACUGGGCGUAAAGGGUGCGUAGGCGGCCCUUCAAGUCAGAGGUGAAAGGCUACGGCUCAACCGGAGUAAGCCGUGGAAACUGUAGGGCUUGAGUGCAGGAGAUGAGAGUUGAAGUCCCAGUGGAGCGGUGAAAUGCGUAGAUAUUGGGAGGAACACCAGUUGCGAAGGCGGCUCUCUAGACUGUAACUGACGCUGAGGCACGAAAGCGUGGGGAGCGAACAGGAUUAGAUACCCGGUUAGUC
rnacentral:rRNA from 1 species